AUGGUGGAUUUAAACUCUGCCAAACCCAAACAUGAAGACUCUUGGAGGAAACUACUUCAGCAGAAAGAUGAGGAACUCCAGCAGCAGGUGCACUCAUUGCAGGCGAAGGAGGCAACUCUGACACGCACUAACUCAGAGAUGUCUCACCGCACACAGGAGCUGGAGAGUGAACUUAACACAGCUAGAGAAGAGGUUUGUGGGGUCAAACUGAAUCUGAAUUCUGCUGAAACGAUGUGUCAGUGGAGCUCCUGACCAUGAACUACCAAUGUGUCCUGCAGCAGAGAAGCAGUCAGAAGAGCUGCCACAGGCUGGAAGAACAGCUGCUGUCUUCCCAGCAUGAGUCUGAGAGACUGCAGGAAGAACUGAAGCUGGUCAACAGCAGCUUGACACUAACAUCAGGUAUCAUUCUUUACUGAGUGGAUAUUGUAGUCUAAAGGCUGGAAUACACUACAUGAAUUUUAUGUAGAUUUUUGCCCUGAUUUGCGGUCUGGAGGAGUCAAUGCUAGUUAAAGAAAGUCAGAGCCAGUUUGGAGAUUUUGGGUUUUGAGAGAUUUCACUUGAUUAAAAGUACAAAUAUAAAAUGCAGUGUGUUAAUAUGAAAUGGUGAAACUCAUGUUCUGCAGGAGAUACUAUGAGAAACAGUCUCAACACAAAACCAAGUUGCGCAGAGCUAAACAGAUCUUCAUGAAGACAGUCACCCAACAUUAGCACAGGAUCCAGCAGUUAGAUAACGAUCUGGCUCUUGCGACAAGUCUCUCAAAGAAAGUGAGUGUUUUCUUAUCUGACAUUUGACACUACAUGCGUAACUUGCACUUCAUCUUGAGUGUAUUACACUAUGAGCAGGAGAAGGACUGGAUUAGGACUGUGACAGAAGAAAACGACCAGCUCCUCCUAGAGAGACGAGAACUUCUGCAGCGAAUAAGUGAAGCCGAGGAGAUGGGAAACAAUGGACUGAGAACCGCCACUUUGUCCUGUAAUCUCUUAGAGUUAAAUUCCUAGAGAUGGAAAAUAAACAGCUGCAAGAAAAAACUCUAACA
ensembl:lncRNA